UACGAAGGGGGCUAGCGUUGUUCGGAUUUACUGGGCGUAAAGCGCACGUAGGCGGAUCGUUAAGUCGGGGGUGAAAUCCUGGAGCUCAACUCCAGAACUGCCUUCGAUACUGGCGAUCUUGAGUCCGGAAGAGGUGGGUGGAACUCCUAGUGUAGAGGUGGAAUUCGUAGAUAUUAGGAAGAACACCAGUGGCGAAGGCGGCUCACUGGUCCGGUACUGACGCUGAGGUGCGAAAGCGUGGGGAGCAAACAGG
rnacentral:rRNA from 1 species